rnacentral:rRNA from 1 species
UACGGAGGGUGCAAGCGUUAAUCGGAAUCACUGGGCGUAAAGGGCGCGUAGGUGGUCUGAUAAGUCGGGUGUGAAAGCCCUGGGCUCAACCCGGGAACUGCAUUCGAUACUGUCAGGCUAGAGUAUGGUAGAGGGAAGCGGAAUUCCGCAUGUAGCGGUGAAAUGCGUAGAUAUGCGGAGGAACACCAGUGGCGAAGGCGGCUUCCUGGACCAAAACUGACACUGAGGCGCGAAAGCGUGGGGAGCAAACAGG